UACUUCUCCUUUGGCCAGUGGUGCA
rnacentral:piRNA from 1 species